rnacentral:rRNA from 1 species
GACGAACGCUGGCGGCGUGCCUAAUACAUGCAAGUAGAACGCUGAAGAGAGGAGCUUGCUCUUCUUGGAUGAGUUGCGAACGGGUGAGUAACGCGUAGGUAACCUGCCUUGUAGCGGGGGAUAACUAUUGGAAACGAUAGCUAAUACCGCAUAACAAUGGAUGACACAUGUCAUUUAUUUGAAAGGGGCAAUUGCUCCACUACAAGAUGGACCUGCGUUGUAUUAGCUAGUAGGUGAGGCAAUGGCUCACCUAGGCGGCGAUACAUAGCCGACCUGAGAGGGUGAUCGGCCACACUGGGACUGAGACACGGCCCAGACUCCUACGGGAGGCAGCAGUAGGGAAUCUUCGGCAAUGGGGGCAACCCUGACCGAGCAACGCCGCGUGAGUGAAGAAGGUUUUCGGAUCGUAAAGCUCUGUUGUAAGUCAAGAACGGGUGUGAGAGUGGAAAGUUCACACUGUGACGGUAGCUUACCAGAAAGGGACGGCUAACUACGUG